rnacentral:rRNA from 1 species
AACGAACGCUGGCGGCAUGCCUAACACAUGCAAGUCGAACGAGACCUUCGGGUCUAGUGGCGCACGGGUGCGUAACGCGUGGGAACCUGCCCUUAGGUUCGGAAUAACUCCCCGAAAGGGGUGCUAAUACCGGCUAAUUUCUUCGGACCAAAGAUUUAUCGCCUUUGGAUGGGCCCGCGUUGGAUUAGCUAGUUGGUAGGGUAAAAGCCUACCAAGGCGACGAUCCAUAGCUGGUCUGAGAGGAUGAUCAGCCACACUGGGGCUGAGACCCGGCCCAGACUCCUACGGGAGGCAGCAGUGGGGAAUAUUGGACAAUGGGCGAAAGCCUGAUCCAGCAAUGCCGCGUGAGUGAUGAAGGCCUUAGGGUUGUAAAGCUCUUUUACCCGGGAUGAUAAUGACAGUACCGGGAGAAUAAGCUCCGGCUAACUCCGUG